UACGUAGGGUGCAAGCGUUGUCCGGAAUUAUUGGGCGUAAAGAGCUCGUAGGCGGUCUGUCGCGUCUGCUGUGAAAACUCGGGGCUUAACCCCGGGCCUGCAGUGGGUACGGGCAGACUAGAGUGCGGUAGGGGAGACUGGAAUUCCUGGUGUAGCGGUGAAAUGCGCAGAUAUCAGGAGGAACACCGGUGGCGAAGGCGGGUCUCUGGGCCGUAACUGACGCUGAGGAACGAAAGCUAGGGGAGCGAACGGG
rnacentral:rRNA from 1 species